UACGGGGGGAGCAAGCGUUGUUCGGAUUUACUGGGCGUAAAGGGCGCGUAGGCGGCCACCGCAAGUCGACUGUGAAAUCUCCGGGCUUAACCCGGAAAGGUCAGCCGAUACUGCGGGGCUAGAGUGCAGAAGGGGCAACUGGAAUUCUCGGUGUAGCGGUGAAAUGCGUAGAUAUCGAGAGGAGCACCUGCGGCGAAGGCGGGUUGCUGGGCUGACACUGACGCUGAUGUGCGAAAGCUAGGGGAGCGAACGGG
rnacentral:rRNA from 1 species